CUACAUGCUUUGACAGAAUUCAGAGGAUUGGAAGGCUUUGUCUGAAAACUAAAACUUCUUGAUUUGAAAAAUGUUACUGUAGUCCUCGUCUGACAUUAUCAUCUGGAUGCCUACUGGUCCUGUUCUGCAAGGCUGAGGCUGCCUACCACCUUUGACAUUGUGCCAUCAUCUUUCCUCUUUGAAGGGAGUGCUGAAAGUAGGGAAUCCCUCAAAGUGAUCUAUUACCGGAGUUGUCAUUUAAAUGGUUUGCUUAUGCCAAGGAAACCUUCCUGUGCUUUGGAACAGAAAACCUGAUAAUAAGCUAGGAUUUGGAGAUUCAUUGUGCUGUAACUCCUUCGCUCACCAUGUUUCCUACCUUCCAAACCAAGACCUUGAUCCUGUGUGCCUCCUAUUCCUCACCCUUCUGCAUGAAACUUCCCCUGACAUGCAUUGCAAGAACUUGGUGGCGAGUGUCCUGUGUGUUGAAUUAGAAUGGUGGUAAUGAAAGACUGGGUAAUUCAGCCACUUUGCUGUCCUUUUCACUUCAGUUAUUAUGAAUUUUAAAUCAUCUUUAUUCACUGAAAUGAUACCUAUGUUGUACUGACUGUGUAGUUUACCAUUGGGCUUAUUUGCUAUAUUUUUAAACCUUAAUGCCUGCCAUCUUAUCCAUUGUUUUAUAGAUGUGUAAAGGGCUCUGAAAGCAGUUACAUAGUGGAAUUUAGCAGUGCAUGGUAUAUUUUAUUAGGAUUAAGAGCUUGU